GUCGUGCGUUUCUAAUUCUGGAUCUUCGGAUUUUUGGAAUGGUCUUCUGCGAUAUGCGAACGAAAAACUCAGUACGUGGUGCCUUGCAAAAUCCUAAAGUGUGCUAGAACUGGGAGCUGAAUUUCUACCGUCCUUUGAUAUUUUUGGACAAAUAAAUUAUUAUUUUUUUAAAAUCAUUUUAUAAUACAGUUAUAUACCUCACAAUGCCAAAGAAAGGAGGGGACAAGCCAGCAGCGGAUGCUGGAAAAGGAAAAGCGGAUGACAAAGGAAAAGGAGGGGAUAAAGGGAAAGACAAAGGGAAAGGAGGGAAGGGAAAAUGAUUGUGAUCAACAACUACGAUUUAUAUCCAGCGCGACACCGCUUCUGCUACAGAUAACAGAUAUGAUUUGGAUUUCUGAAAGGUCAGGUGGGAUUUCAGCCGUUACCAAAUCACCGUUUUGUAUUCUGAGCUAUAGAUUGGCUAAUUGUGUACAAAUGCUGUAGCGUACGUGUACGAUUUUAAUGUACCUCGUAUGUACCUUUCAAAAGCACAUGCCAUAUAAAAAAUCUCAUUUGUCUUCCUCUUUCUGUUAUUGCGACUGUUCUGGAUUACAAAAUAACUAUGAAGGAUCUUGAUCAUCUAGCAUUGUGAAUAAAACUGACCUCAUGUGGUUG